AACAAAAAUAAUAAGUUUCAAAUCGAAGAUUGAUGGCUCGAUCCUUUAAAAUGUCUGUCACUAUGUUCUUUUUGUUAGUCCUCCUUACUUCUACUGAGAUGGGUCCAAUGAUGCUUGGAGAAUCAUAUAACUGUUCUAAUAAUAUCAAGCUUUGCAUGACGGCUAAUUCUUGCAAUAAAUUUUGCCAAAAACGGGGCUAUGAAGAAGGUGAAUGCUUAGCAUUAAAUUGCUGCUGCUUUCCACCGGGCCACCGGGUGUAAUACAAUGGUGGUGGUGAUUGUGGAAAUUUAUUUAUUUACUAUCAUGUCGAGUUGAGUGUGAGACCGAGUGAAUUUUGCCAUGUAUAAAUGAGAUUGCAGUAUAAAUAUCAAAUAAUACACUUUUUAAAGUA